AACGAACGCUGGCGGCGCGCCUAAUACAUGCAAGUCGAACGAGAAUGUGUAGCAAUACACAUGUACAGUGGCGAACGGGUGAGGAAUACAUGGGUAACCUACCCUCGAGUGGGGAAUAAC
rnacentral:rRNA from 1 species